GCAUUAGCGGUUUAGAAUUGCCUACGAUAUACAAAGAUGAUUUAGCUCUUGUUAAAGCUACAUUAAGCCGACGAAGAUCUUGAAGGAAACCGAUUCCACCGCUCAUCGAACUCCUAACGCAAGAAAAAAUUAUAAUGUCCUUUUCCUGUCCCUGAAACCCAUCGACGGUAUGAAUAUCAAGAUGCUUGAAUAUAAUGGAACCAUACUUUCUUUGAAAUUGUGAUCGAAGCUGUUGUACUUGACUUCUAUAAGGGGUAACAACUCCAAUUUUCCCCUCAAAAUCAAUGUUUAGAUAACAUUGAAUUAGCCUCUCAUAUAAUAAUAAAAUAAACGAAGCCUCUUCCACAUUGUACAGAGACUUUGAGUUGGAAAAAGCUUCCGUCCCGUGAACAUUAAAAAAUCGAUAAAUACCUAGCUGCGGAUCCUCGUGCCAAGGUCGAGAUGUCACUGCUGACAUAUUGGGACCGUCAAGUAGUUUUGAAUUAUAGAAAAACUUGCUGGGAA